GCGCCCGUAGCUUAGUCCGGAUAAAGCGUCUGGUUGCGGUCCAGGAGAUCGCAGGUUCGAAUCCUGCCGGGCGCACCA
rnacentral:tRNA from 1 species